UACAGAGGUCCCGAGCGUUUGUUCGGAUUCACUGGGCGUAAAGGGUGCGCAGGUGGGUUGGCAAGUUCGAUGUGAAAGCCCCGGGCUUAACCCGGGAAUGGCAUUGGAUACUGCUGAUCUGGAGGAUCGGAGGGGGGACUGGAAUUCUUGGUGUAGCAGUGAAAUGCGUAGAUAUCUGGAGGAACACCGGUGGCGAAGGCGGCAUCCUGGACCGGUAUUGACACUGAGGCGCGAAAGCCAGGGGAGCAAACGGGG
rnacentral:rRNA from 1 species